UCCCUGGUGAUCUAGUGUUUAAGAAUCUGUCUUCCAAGCAGGGGACACAGGUCCGAUCCCUGGUCAGGGAA
rfam:Ovis aries breed Texel chromosome 1, whole genome shotgun sequence.